rnacentral:rRNA from 1 species
AGAGUUUGAUUAUGGCUCAGGAUGAACGCUGGCGGCGUGCAUAACACAUGCAAGUCGAACGGACCUAGGCAGGGAGCUUGCUCCAGCCUAAGUUAGUGGCGGACGGGUGAGUAACGCGUGGGUAACCUGCCCUGUACAGGGGGAUAGCAGCUGGAAACGGCUGAUAAAACCGCAUAAAACGGCAAUGCCGCAUGGCAUAACCGUCAAAUAUUCAUAGGUACAGGAUGGGCCCGCGUCUGAUUAGGCAGUUGGUGAGGUAACGGCUCACCAAACCGACGAUCGGUAGCCGGACUGAGAGGUUGAACGGCCACAUUGGGACUGAGACACGGCCCAGACUCCUACGGGAGGCAGCAGUGGGGAAUAUUGCACAAUGGGGGGAACCCUGAUGCAGCAACGCCGCGUGAAGGAAGACGGUUUUCGGAUUGUAAACUUCUGUUCUUAGUGACGAAGAAGUGACGGUAGCUAAGGAGCAAGCCACGGCUAACUACGUGCCAGCCGCUGC